CCCUUAGAUGUUCUGGGCCGCACGCGCGCUACAAUGAUGAAUUCAACGAGUUUAUAACCUUGGUUGAAAAGCCUGGGUAAUCUUUUGAACUUUCGUCGUGAUGGGGCUAGACCCUUGCAAUUAUUGGUCUCCAACGAGGAAUUCCUAGUAAACGCAAGUCAUCAGCUUGCAUUGAUUACGUCCCUGCCCUUUGUACACACCGCCCGUCGCACCUACCGAUUGAAUGGUCCGGUGAAAUCUUCGGAUUGAGACUUUGAUUUCUUCACGGAAAACGCUGUUUUAAAAAGUUGAUUAAACCUUACCAUUUAGAGGAAGGUGGAGUCGUAACA
rnacentral:rRNA from 1 species